rnacentral:misc_RNA from 1 species
GAUGAAGAACGCAGCGAAAUGCGAUACGUAAUGUGAAUUGCAAAUUCAGUGAAUCAUCGAGUCUUUGAACGCACAUUGCGCCCCCUGGUAUUCCGGGGGGCAUGCCUGUCCGAGCGUCAUUGCUGCCCUCAAGCACGGCUUGUGUGUUGGGCCCCGUCCUCCGAUCCCGGGGGACGGGCCCGAAAGGCAGCGGCGGCACCGCGUCCGGUCCUCGGGCGUAUGGGGCUUUGUCACCCGCUCUGUAGGCCCGGCCGGCGCUUGCCGAUCAACCCAAAUUUUUAUCCAGGUUGACCUCGGAUCAGGUAGGGAUACCCGCUGAACUUAAGCAUAUCAAUAAGCGGAGGA